UACGUAGGGAGCAAGCGUUGUCCGGAUUCACUGGGUGUAAAGGGUGCGCAGGCGGGAGAGUAAGUCAGAGGGGAAAUCUCACAGCUUAACUGUGAAACUGCCUUUGAUACUGCUUUUCUUGAGUUUGGGAGAGGUUGAUGGAAUUCCAGGUGUAGCGGUGAAAUGCGUAGAUAUCUGGAAGAACACCAGUGGCGAAGGCGGUCAACUGGCCCGUAACUGACGCUCAGGCACGAAAGCGUGGGUAGCGAACAGG
rnacentral:rRNA from 1 species